CCUACGGGAGGCAGCAGUGGGGAAUAUUGCACAAUGGGCGGAAGCCUGAUGCAGCAACGCCGCGUGAGGGAUGACGGCCUUCGGGUUGUAAACCUCUUUUAGCAGGGAAGAAGCGAAAGUGACGGUACCUGCAGAAAAAGCGCCGGCUAACUACGUGCCAGCAGCCGCGGUAAU
rnacentral:rRNA from 2 species